AGUGUAUGAUGAUUUCCACUUCUGGUCCGUGUUUCUGAAACACCAUGAUUACUGUGGAAGUUCUGAUCUA